rnacentral:lncRNA from 14 species
ACGAGGACUCAACAAGGAGCUUGUUUACACCUCUGAGGCCAAACGGCAAACACUGACUAUAUCUUUAUCCAUUUCCAGUGCAUGGCACAAGUCUGUUCUGUUAAGUUCCUUUAGAGUAUCUGAGCUCUUGUGACAUCUUUAUAAGGCCUCAGAUCAGGUAUCAGGGAUUAAACUCUUGCUGUUUUGCAUCCAGGUGAGAUUUCUGCUGGAAUAUGAAUACUUGCAUUUAGAAACUGAUUGUGUGAAACAGUGUGCUACAAUUGUCAUCAUCCUUGGUUGAUUACACUUUCCAGGAUGAAGGUUCCGGUGUGAAUAUUGUGUGUGGAAUCUCUGCUUUCUCUGAAGUAUAACCCAUCAUUCUGUGACUACUGUUAACCUCAGAUCAGUUGUAUUUAACAGGUCCUAUUGCAGUCAGACAGAAUCCAAAGGGAAAUCCACGGCUUAAUUUUAAGGGAAAGCUUCUUCACAUAUUGAAACCCACCCCGCACAUGUCAGGACAUGUUUGCAGAAGCCUAUCAGUAAGCUGAAGCCCUUUCCUGCCCCUGCGUGGAUUAUUAUUGUUUAGAUUUUGGCAGAACGUAGAGAUCCCCAUGAAGAUUGUGGCUGUAUUGCCUUAAGCGGAU